GUAGAUAAACAUGCAUUAUUUCGCAAGGACUUACACAGGAUAAUAACCUCAACAUCAAAACCUUGAAUCCAGAUCCAAAUUCCAUACCUAAAACCUUGAUUUUGGACAAAAUUGCCUGAAUGGAUUAUUACUACCAAGGAUUAUCAAGAAAAAUCUUCUAACAAACCAAAACCUGCAGAAGAAACACAGAGGAACCUGGAAAUACCCUCCAACACAAAACUGAUGAAGAAAAGGCACCUGUUUUAGCAGAGUGAAAAAAAUCCAUCAAGUGUGAAAUAGGCUGCACAAGCAAUGAGAGGAUGCACCAUCGUGAGACCUGAGCCCUAGGACCAUGCCUCAGGACUACCUGGCAUGAUGACUCCUUGCUGUCCCCAGUCCACCUGGCCGUGCUGCUGCUCCGCCUGUGGCUAUGGAACCCUGACCUGUUCACCGGACGUGCUUGUUGCACCCUCGACAACUACUAUGAUUAUUAUUAUUUGACCAUGCUGGUCAUUUAUGAACAUUUUAACAUCUUGACCAUGUUCUGUUAUAAUAUCCACCCGGCACAGCCAAAAGAGGACUGGCCACCCCUCAUAGCCUGGAUCCUCUCUAGGUUUCUUCCUAGGUUUUUGGCCUUUCUAGGGAGUUUUUCCUAGGGAGUUUUUCCUAGCCACCGUGCUUCUUUCACAUGCAUUGCUUGCUGUUUGGGGUUUUAGGCUGGGUUCUGUUCAGCACUUUGAGAUAUCAGCUGAUGUACGAAGGGCUAUAUAAAUACAUUUGAUUUGAUUUGAAGUCAUUUCUACAUGGCUUAGAGAUGUCAGAUGUACAUUUAGGC
rnacentral:lncRNA from 1 species